CCUCCCCCUAGAGGCAUUGCAGGUAUGGCUGUGUAUUCCAUGUGUGUCAGUAGAUGACAGAGAGGAGAGAGAGACUAGUUUAUGUUCAGUGUGCCGACCUGUAAACAUGGUAUGAUUAGUAGCCUAACACU